rnacentral:rRNA from 1 species
AAUGAGCCUGCGAGUUGUGGUGUCUGGCAAGGUUAAGCAAACGCGAAGCCGUAGCGAAAGCGAGUCUGAAUAGGGCGCUUAGUCAGAUGCUGCAGACCCGAAACGAAGUGAUCUAUCCAUGAGCAAGUUGAAGCUAGUGUAAGAACUAGUGGAGGACUGAACCCAUAGGCGUUGAAAAGCCCCGGGAUGACUUGUGGAUAGGGGUGAAAGGCCAAUCAAACUUCGUGAUAGCUGGUUCUCUCCGAAAUAUAUUUAGGUAUAGCGUUGUGUCGUAAUAUAAGGGGGUAGAGCACUGAAUGGGCUAGGGCAUACACCAAUGUACCAAACCCUAUCAAACUCCGAAUACCUUAUAUGUAAUCACAGCAGUCAGGCGGCGAGUGAUAAAAUCCGUCGUCAAGAGGGAAACAACCCAGACUACCAGCUAAGGUCCCUAAAUCUUACUUAAGUGGAAAACGAUGUGAAGUUACUUAAACAACCAGGAGGUUGGCUUAGAAGCAGCCAUCCUUUAAAGAAAGCGUAAUAGCUCACUGGUCUAGUGAUUUUGCGCGGAAAAUAUAACGGGGCUAAAGUAAGUACCGAAGCUGUAGACUUGCGCACAACUUAGAUUAUUUAAGUUUAGAAUAUGAGAAACUAAGUUAUGUUUAGUUAUAUUUUUACUGAUUUUUAUAGAGUAAAGAUAGAAAUAAAACUUAGUAAAAUCAGUAAAAAUAUUCUUAGGCUAAAGUUAAGUAGUUUAAGUUGUGUGCAAGUGGUAGGAGAGCGUUCUAUUUGCGUCGAAGGUAUACCGGUAAGGAGUGCUGGAGCGAAUAGAAGUGAGCAUGCAGGCAUGAGUAGCGAUAAUUAAUGUGAGAAUCAUUAACGCCGUAAACCCAAGGUUUCCUACGCGAUGCUCGUCAUCGUAGGGUUAGUCGGGUCCUAAGUCGAGUCCGAAAGGGGUAGACGAUGGCAAAUUGGUUAAUAUUCCAAUACCAACAUUAGUGUGCGAUGGAAGGACGCUUAGGGCUAAGGGGGCUAGCGGAUGGAAGUGCUAGUCUAAGGUCGUAGGAGGUUAUACAGGCAAAUCCGUAUAACAAUACUCCGAGAACUGAAAGGCUUUUUGAAGUCUUCGGAUGGAUAGAAGAACCCCUGAUGCCGUCGAGCCAAGAAAAGUUUCUAAGUUUAGCUAAUGUUGCCCGUACCGUAAACCGACACAGGUGGGUGGGAUGAGUAUUCUAAGGCGCGUGGAAGAACUCUCUUUAAGGAACUCUGCAAAAUAGCACCGUAUCUUCGGUAUAAGGUGUGGUUAGCUUUGUAUUAGGAUUUACUCCGAAAGCAAGGAAACUUACAACAAAGAGUCCCUCCCGACUGUUUACCAAAAACACAGCACUCUGCUAACUCGUAAGAGGAUGUAUAGGGUGUGACGCCUGCCCGGUGCUCGAAGGUUAAUUGAUGGGGUUAGCAUUAGCGAAGCUCUUGAUCGAAGCCCGAGUAAACGGCGGCCGUAACUAUAACGGUCCUAAGGUAGCGAAAUUCCUUGUCGGUUAAAUACCGACCUGCAUGAAUGGCGUAACGAGAUGGGAGCUGUCUCAAAGAGGGAUCCAGUGAAAUUGUAGUGGAGGUGAAAAUUCCUCCUACCCGCGGCAAGACGGAAAGACCCCGUGGACCUUUACUACAGCUUGACACUGCUACUUGGAUAAGAAUGUGCAGGAUAGGUGGGAGGCUUUGAGUAUAUGACGCCAGUUGUAUAUGAGCCAUUGUUGAGAUACCACUCUUUCUUAUUUGGGUAGCUAACCAGCUUGAGUUAUCC